rnacentral:rRNA from 1 species
UACAGAGGUCUCAAGCGUUGUUCGGAUUCAUUGGGCGUAAAGGGUGCGUAGGCGGCGCGGUAAGUCGGGUGUGAAAUCUCGGAGCUUAACUCCGAAACUGCAUUCGAUACUGCCGUGCUUGAGGACUGGAGAGGAGACUGGAAUUUACGGUGUAGCGGUGAAAUGCGUAGAGUAUCGUAAGGAAGACCAGUGGCGAAGGCGGGUCGCUGGACAG